rnacentral:rRNA from 1 species
AGAGUUUGAUCCUGGCUCAGGACGAACGCUCGCGGCGUGCCUAAGAAAUGCAAGUCGAGCGGGGACCAGCGCUGUCCAAAGCUUCGGCAGCGGACUUGCUGGUUCUAGCGGCGAGCGGUCGCGUAACACGUAAGCAACCUGCCCCAAAGAUUGGGAUAACCCGCCGAAAGGCGGACUAAUACCGGAUGUGGCCCGUCUGGCACAUGCCAGAUUGGUUAAAGGAGCAAUCCGCUUUGGGAUGGGCUUGCGGCCUAUCAGCUAGUUGGUGAGGUAACGGCCCACCAAGGCGACGACGGGUAGCUGGCCUGAGAGGGUGGCCAGCCGGAUUGGGACUGAGAUACGGCCCAGACUCCUACGGGAGGCAGCAGUGGGGAAUAUUGGACAAUGGGCGCAAGCCUGAUCCAGCCAUGCCGCGUGAGUGAUGAAGGCCUUAGGGUUGUAAAGCUCUUUCACCGAUGAAGAUAAUGACGGUAGUCGGAGAAGAAGCCCCGGCUAACUUCGUGCCAGCAGCCGCGGUAAUACGAAGGGGGCUAGCGUUGUUCGGAAUUACUGGGCGUAAAGCGCACGUAGGCGGAUAUUUAAGUCAGGGGUGAAAUCCCAGAGCUCAACUCUGGAACUGCCUUUGAUACUGGGUAUCUUGAGUAUGGAAGAGGUAAGUGGAAUUGCGAGUGUAGAGGUGAAAUUCGUAGAUAUUCGCAGGAACACCAGUGGCGAAGGCGGCUUACUGGUCCAUUACUGACGCUGAGGUGCGAAAGCGUGGGGAGCAAACAGGAUUAGAUACCCUGGUAGUCCACGCCGUA